AUUAAAAAAAAGACCGAAUACGAUUCCUAUAUUCGGUCCAGGGAAAUGGCUCUUGGAUAGAGCCGUGCGCUAAAAGUUGGCAUUAAUGUAAGCUGUUUAAUCUUACGUAACUGAGUAUAGAAGUUUACGGGGGGUUUUCCAUCGA
rnacentral:sRNA from 1 species